rnacentral:rRNA from 1 species
UAGGGAAUCUUCCACAAUGGACGCAAGUCUGAUGGAGCAACGCCGCGUGAGUGAAGAAGGUUUUCGGACCGUAAAGCUCUGUUGUUGGUGAAGAAGGAUAGAGGUAGUAACUGGCCUUUAUUUGACGGUAAUCAACCAGAAAGUCACGGCUAACUACGUGCCAGCAGCCGCGGUAAUCGUAGGUGGCAAGCGUUGUCCGGAUUUAUUGGGCGUAAAGCGAGCGCAGGCGGAAGAAUAAGUCUGAUGUGAAAGCCCUCGGCUUAACCGAGGAAUUGCAUCGGAAACUGUUUUCUUGAGUGCAGAAGAGGAGAGUAGAACUCCAUGUGUAGCGGUGGAAUGCGUAGAUAUAUGGAAGAAUACCAGUGGCGAAGGCGGCUCUCUGGUCUGCAACUGACGCUGAGGCUCGAAAGCAUGGGUAGCGAACAGGAUUAGAUACCCUGGUAGUCCAUGCCGUAAACGAUGAGUGCUAAGUGUUGGGAGGCUUCCGCCUCUCAGUGCUGCAGCUAACGCAUUAAGCACUCCGCCUGGGGGAGUACGACCGCAAGGUUG